UUCAUACCCUAAGAAAUGUUUCGUUUCACUCUCAAACUAAUGCAGCUAUUUUGUAAGUAUAACAGAUUGUAAACAGAGAUGCCAAGCAAAUAGUGCCAUGGCUUCAUUCAGAGGCCCAGCCUAAUGGGAUUAUGGGAAAAAAAAAAAACUUUACACUACAAAUUAUUUGGUACUUGGUCAGAUUUUUCUGGUAGGUACAUAUCUUUUGGGUCACGCAUCAUUAUCAGGUGUCGUUGUCCUGAAGUCACCAGUAAAAAAAUGGAUUGGGUCGGCGAUCUACCCUAUGCAGGGCCAGAAUCUGAGCCAUAAUUAGAACAUUUAUAUAUAGAAACCAUUGGGGGGUUGAGUAAAUUUUUGGGUUCAACCAAUAUUUUUGAAGUCAUUGUAUGGCUCACCAUCUCUUUCUCUCUCUCUCAUGGCCUAAUGAGCCCUCUUUUUGCCGAAUAAAGCCAUUCAUUUAUAA